GAUCUUCGAAGACAACCAGGAUGUUGGCUCAGAAGCAGCCAUACAUUCAAAGAGUGCGUAAUAGCUCACUGGUCAAGUGAUUCCGCGCCGAUAAUGUAGCGGGGCUUAAGUUAUCCGCCGAAGCUGUGGCAACCUGUGUGGUUGGGUAGGGGAGCGUCGUGUCAGUGGUGAAGCUGCCGGGUGACUGUGUGGUGGAGUUGAUGCGAGUGAGAAUGCAGGCAUGAGUAGCGUGUGACGGGUGGGAAUCCCGUCCGCCGAUUAUCCAAGGGUUCCAGGGUCAAGUUUGUCUGCCCUGGGUGAGUCGGGUCCUAAGGCGAGGCCGACAGGCGUAGUCGAUGGGUAACCAGUUGAUAUUCUGGUACCGGCUUGUCACCGUCCGUGUCGAGGUGUGUGAUGCUAAGCAUGUGAGCUUGUCUUGGGAGUGUUUUUGAUGCUUCUGGGGUGGGUGAGUGUGUGAACCGAUCAUGUAGUAGGCAAGCUGCGGAGGGACGCAGUGAGGUAGCUCAUCCCCGGUGAUGGUUGUCCGGGGCUAAGUGUGUGGACUGUCUGGUAGGUAAAUCCGCUGGGCGUGAAGGUUGAGGCAUGAUGGGGAGCCCAUGGUUGUGGGUGAGUGAGUGAUCCUGUACUGUCGAGAAAAGCUUCGUGAGCGAGGUGGCGGGUCCGCCCGUACCCUAAACCGACACUGGUGGAUAGGUAGAGUAUACCGAGGCGAUCGAGUGAAUCGUGGUGAAGGAACUCGGCAAAAUGCCCCCGUAACUUUGGGAUAAGGGGGACCUGAGCUGUCGUGCACCCGUGCGGUGUGGUGGCGGUGAGGGGCGCAGAGUCCAGGGGGAAACGACUGUUUACCAAAAACACAGGUCCGUGCGAAGUCGUAAGACGAUGUAUACGGACUGACUCCUGCCCGGUGCUGGAAGGUUAAGGGGAACUGUGAGUGUAUGCGUAGCGGUGAACUUAAGCCCCAGUAAACGGCGGUGGUAACUAUAACCAUCCUAAGGUAGCGAAAUUCCUUGUCGGGUAAGUUCCGACCUGCACGAAUGGCGUAACGAUGGCGGCGCUGUCUCCACCCGAGACUCAGUGAAAUUGAAAUCGCUGUGAAGAUGCAGUGUAUCCGCGGCUAGACGGAAAGACCCCGUGAACCUUUACUAUAGCUUUGCACUGGACUUUGAAUUUGCUUGUGUAGGAUAGGUGGGAGGCUUUGAAGUGGGGACGCCAGUUCUCAUGGAGCCAUCCUUGAAAUACCACCCUGGCAACUUUGAGGUUCUAACUCAGGUCCGUUAUCCGGAUCGAGGACAGUGUAUGGUGGGUAGUUUGACUGGGGCGGUCUCCUCCUAAAGAGUAACGGAGGAGUACGAAGGUGCGCUCAGACCGGUCGGAAAUCGGUCGUAGAGUAUAAAGGCAAAAGCGCGCUUGACUGCGAGACAGACACGUCGAGCAGGUACGAAAGUAGGUCUUAGUGAUCCGGUGGUUCUGUAUGGAAGGGCCAUCGCUCAACGGAUAAAAGGUACUCCGGGG
rnacentral:rRNA from 1 species